AUCCUCUACCCUGAGUAGAUACUCUGCAUUUUUACUGUGCAAUGCUUUCAGGACUGUGCCUCUGUGGUCACCCCUGUCGUCCAGCUCCGUUAUGGCCAUGGGAACCAGAACCUGGCAUGUUCCAGCACCUCAUUCUGCAGUUAGAAAUCAACAAAACCUCCCAAAUGGGAGAGGAGGGCCUAAAACCCUUGGGAAAUUUCCUUUGCGAGAUUUUCAUGAGACUUGGAAUGUCCUGAAGUUUAAUAUGUGAAGGUAUUUGAAUGACACAUAGAACUCCGUGUAAGACAGGUGUAGCCAAAAGAGAAAACCAUUCAUGUCAACAGUCUCCCUCGUGCUCUUUCAGAGACCCUCUGAAUUAUAGCACCCAGAGGCCCUGGAUGUCUUGGGAGCGGAUGAGCCCCAUGCACAGGCAGGAGAGUGGCGCAUUCUCUGGGUAACGAAGUAUCCUAUAGCUAGAAGAUUAGAAACAAUUCUACAUGAAACAUUUGAAAGUAUCUUUUGAUCAGUUUAUUUAUUUCUGAAGACAUAGAUUUCCUUUGGGAAACAGUAGCCCAGAGAAAGGUCUCCACAACCAAAAAGCACUGUGAAUUGUUAGUUGCAUUUUGCCUGGUCACGUGAGUGAAUUUCCUCCUGGAUUGCAUUGAAUCUGCACUGUUUUGGAGACUGGCAGAUCCGUCGUUGAUAAAGCCACAUGUGCAGGGUCAUCAUCAGUUGAUGUACUUCCAUCCUAGCUGAUACUGUUGAUUUUUCCCUGCCAGGAAGCUUCCUGACACAGCCUGCACCCCAGUGGACUUCCCAAAGCAAGUUGAGUCUGACUUCGCACCCCUGACAUCAGAAUCAUCUGACUUCUGGGCACGCCACUGAAUACUGAUGUACCUGAAGGAACCCUGGGUACCAAACAUGCUCAAGUGAAUGAAUGGUGUCCAGGACAAAGCCCAGCAGGGUGUAUGAAGAAAGGGCUUCAGCAGAAACAGAGGCUGAAGCCUGCGUGCUGGGGGCCGAGAGGCCAGAGGAGAAUGUGAUGAGACAUAGAAUUGGUAGUGCAGGAAGUUGGAAGAUCAAGUACCGUGAUGUUGGUGCUGGCUGCUUGUGUUAAACUGCCUAGGUUUUAAUCUACGGUAAUUUUCGCCCACCUGUGGGGCUCCCCUGGUGCCCCAGCUGUGAUGGGGUAACUGAACUGCCACCAGGGCCAAGCUGUCAGUGGCCCAGGAUCUGGCGCUUGGAAGAGUUCUGAGAAGCACCCCUGGAUCAAAUGAGGAGAAACAGACUUCAUCCAUACCUAUUCCCAUUGUAUUUAAAGAAGUGAAUAUUCUCAGGGAUUUCCACAGUUUUAAAAGUGUCUUUCAAUUAAAACAUUUAAAAUAAAAUAAGGUUGAGGUAACAACCAAGUUACACUUCUUCCAGCAGCACCCAGACAGCGAGAGCCCUCAGAUUUUAGAAUUUUAGAAGAGAAGAUUGUGGCCAUGUCUGGAAUUCAAAGAAGAACCAGUGAGAAGAGCUAGAUAGAACUGAUGGAUGCUGAAACAUCUAAUAUUAAAAUAGAAGGGCAACCCUAAAUGAUAAUAUAAAAUUACAAUAUUAAUGGUAGAGUAAUUAAGGAAGCCAUUAAUGUUGAAUUAUGUAUGUGUAUGUUAAACCUAUAAAUUAAAAUAUCAUGAACAUUAUACCAUCUGUGCUGGUUUCAGUAAUGCUGUUAUAAAAUA
ensembl:lncRNA novel transcript